AUAUUGGAAUUAAAGCAGUUGUAAAUUAAAAUCAAAGACCUAAAAUAGUAAAGACUAGACAAAAUGCAUUUUGAGCAAAUGGUUUGUGUCUACAAUACAUAGAGUAACAGCUCAUGGCAAAGACAUGUUAAUAUUUGAAAAAUCCAAAUUUUUGGAUUCAAAAUUCUAUUCCAUGGGUCUUUUCGCAAAUUUGCUUAUUGCCUUAGCGGUGUAAAUCAGUUAACAUUGGUAACUAUGUAGUUAUGAUAUCGUAACAACAGAGGUAUUUUCUCAGGGUUACCAUAUUUUAACUCUUGUCCUAUCUUUACACUUCUAUGUCUUUGUUAAAAUUCUUUGUAGGUCUGUCUAAAUCGGAAAAUAUUUUGCCGUUCAGUAGAAAGUUUAUUCCAAGCAUUGUUCGCACUUUUCAAUGAAGGAAGUUUAAAGGUAUAAAGUUCGGUUUCAUAAGAGGGUAAUGUUUCAUAAUGAUGAUUCCAUAAAUGACUACACAAAAGGAACAAUAGAAAUUGUUUUUGAUUCAAUCAGACUAGAGUGUAUUACAUAACAUAAUAUUCAAGUAAAUUUCGAACAAUGGAAAAAUAUAGUUGUUUUGUAACUAGUGGGUCAGAAAACUCCAUGCUCCAUUUUUUCAGUACUGAUAUUUGUUGACGAAAACUUAGUCGUUGAUGAAGUAAUAUACCAAGAUCGUGGACAUAUUCAACAGAUUCUAGCUCAUUGUUUUCAAAGUGAUAUUUUGCGUUAAAAGAUUUACAUUGCAACUUUAGUUCAAUCGGAUCAUUGUAGGAUUGCAAAAUUUUUACUUCGCCUGGGUACAUUAAUAUAUUUUAGUACGUUAAACCUGUUGGUGCGUACAUUACAUUAUAUUUGGGUACUUUAUAGUUGUUGAUAGACAUUAAUAAAAAAGUUAAAAAGAAUAGGUCCAAUUUGACUGCCCUGACGAUCUCCAGAAGAAAUAAGGAUAGUUAUAGAAUUAUAUUUUGCGUUCUUCAUGAUAAAUAAGACUUUAUCCAUUCUAACAGAUCUUAUCAAGAUUCAGACACUUAUCUUUAUCAAAUGCUUUAUUGAAAUCCGUGUAGAUAGUGUCUGUUCGCAUUAUACUUUUAAAACCAUCGUUUACAAUUGUUGUCAGUUUUAAAAUAUUUGUAAUAGUUGAGCAUUUUUUUUAAAUCCGUGCUGAAAAUUGGAUAGUAUAGAGGAGACUUGGAAGGAACCCGUAUCACUAAGAAUUUUCGCAAUGAGUUUUGGUAUACCACUUAGCCUUGCUAUACCCCUGUAGGGUAUAAUAAAUGAAUUUUUCCAUAAAUGUCGACAGCUAAAACGACAGCUUAAGUCCUUGGAGGAUAUCUAUAUACAUAGUGGUGAAUAAGUGUCUUAGAGGGCCAAAGUUCCUUAUGUAUUAAUGUAUAAUUUGAAUAUGUUGUUUCUGAUGAUGUAAAUGAUCGAUUUGACCCAGUGGGUGUUGUAGAUCGAUAUGGACGGGCAGUUUAUUUAUGAGGGCUUUGUUGUUGUUGCCCUCGAUGGGGUUGUUGAAAAGGUUUGAGUCAAUUGCAGGCCCAAUUGCGACAUUGACUCUUUUCUGGAAUCAGUCAUAUUGGGUAAAAUUAUUAGAGGAAGUUCGAUAGAAAUUUGUGGUAUUGCAAUAGCGUUAACCGAAGCUACAUUUCGUGAGGCAAAAGUCAUGAUGUUAGACGUUUUUUUCUUUUUAUGACAAAGUCCAAUGGAGAUUUAAGGAAAUGAUCUAAACUCGAUUGUUUGUCAAAAAAUUCCUUCUAUUAAGCAAACUUAUCUAAUGUUUAGUUAGCUUCUAAAUCAAUUUGAUUAUAUUCAGGAUCAUAAACACAGAAUUUAUCACGACACUAUCGCAAACCUUUAUCUUCUUUGAGGUUAUCGGCAGUUCGUGCAGCUAAAUUUAGACACUUAUGCUAGGAACACAAUUGGAGCGAACGACGAAUUUCGCCCUACGCGGCGACAAAAUGAGCCGCAUAAAUUCGUCGCAUGGAAAACAAUACCGACGAAAUUAUAAAACAGCUGAUGAAGUUGUUUACUUUUUGCUCAUUUGUUGACUACAAUGAAUCAGAGAAUUGUAUAUUAUAGUAAAAGCUUAUCUGCUUGUGCGAAAACGUUUACGGAGAAGAUGGUGGGUACGGCCAGUGAACAUUAAAAGAAACACCGAAUGAUUCCAGAGAAUGGCUUUUACGGAGCUAAAAUUAUGAGAUGAAGAGCACUUCUUUCUUCUGAAGAGCACUUCUUCUCUUCUAGAUUUGCUUAAACCACGAUUUCAAAGAUUUUCAAAAAGAAAACCAAUUGAUGAGGAAACACGUUUGGGCUUAACUCUAAUAUACCUAGCUCAUGGUUGCAGUGCACAGUUUUUGGCAAAGAUAUACAAAAUGGGUGUUUCGACUGUGAGAAAGAUAAUUUAUGAAACUUGCGAUGCGUUAUGGAGCGAGCUUCAAAAGGUAUAUGUUUCCCAACCUAAUCACCAUAAAUGGAAAAGCAUUGCUGAAAGUUUUGGAAACUUAAAUUUAUAGUGUUAAAUAAAAUAAUAAUAUAUGAUGUAUAUUUUAUGUGAAAAGAUUUUACACGAAAACAGGUAUGCCGCAUUGUGUUGAGGCUAUUGAUGGCAAGCAUGUCAACAUCUUUUGUCCAAAAAAUAGCGGUUCACUUUUUUAUAAUUAUAAAAAAAAGUUUUAGCAUUGUGCUAAUGGUGGUAUGUGACGCGGAUUAUAAUUUUAUAUUUGUUGAUGUUGGAGCUUUUGGCAGCCAAAGUGAUGGUGGAGUCUUUGCAAGAAGUUCGUUUGAAAAAAUGAUUUUGAGAAAUCAAAUUAAUCUUCCCCCUGAUGAUAAACUACCUGGCACUGAUAAAACGUUUCCGUAUUUCUUUGUGGGAGAAAAUGCUUUCCCUUUGAAGAAAAAUUUAAUGAGGCCAUAUCCAGGACGAAGCUUGCCUGCCGCUAAACAAAAUUUUAACAAAAAGUUACCUGCCGCUCGUGUAUACAUUGAAAACUCUUUUGGCAUUUUAACAAACAGGUGGAGGAUUUUACAUACAAACAUUCAAGUGUCACCCAAAAACGUAGAUAAAAUAGUUUUAGCAACGGUAGUUCUUCAUAAUUACCUAAUGUUAGAUAAAACCUGCGGAUAUUUUGAAGGUAGUUUGGUGGAUCACGAAGAAAAUGGAGUUAUUAUUCGUGGUACAUGGAGGCAGGCAUCAGAAUCCCAGCCUUCUAUCCGAAUUUCCCAUGCCAACCGCUCAUCAGCAAGUGCUUUUGCUGUGAGAGACGAAUCAACAAACCACUUUUUUGAAAUUCAUUCCUAAAAAAUUUCUUCGAAUUCAAUUUCAUUAAUUUUUUAGUAAUCAAAAAUUCAAUUUUAUUUAAUUUAAAAUAAAAAAUCUUAUCUUAAUCAAAACCAAAAUUCAAAUGUAUUUAAUACAAACUAUAUACUAAGGCAACUUCUAAUGUCACUUCAGUCAUAAUUAAAAAAAAAAAAAAACUUAAAAAACAAAAGAAGAAAAAAUUCAGUUCAUGGAAUUAAAACUUAAAAAAAAAAAUCAAGGUAUGUUCUUGGCAAUUUCCUUGUAAACUAAGCUCACGACCUUAGCAGUUAUGAUAUCACCCCAUCGCGUCCUAAUUUAAAUGGUUACCUUUCUGAAAUAACACACACGCGUUUCCUGUUCUUCAUGCACUUGUUUCUUUAUUAUUUUUUUUGUUGUAAUUUUUUGUUGUGUGCUUACUUGUUCGGAAAUAUAAUUCAGCACACUUAUGGUGUUGACCCCAGAAAUUGCAACUUUAGCAUUUUACCUGGCAAGCUAAAAUGUUGAGAAAUAUAAUUUGAUUUAACACGCGUAUGCAAGUAAUCAAUAUUUUUGAAAUACAAUAAUAAACGUGCAAAAGAACAAGAACGCUUAAUAAGCACUUUGAUUUAAUAAGUAAAACCAAAAUUAUGUUUUUCAAUUAGUCUACGAAUAGUACUCAAAUAAAGUGGUAGCAGAAGCUACAAGAAAAGAAAACGAAACGCGUCGCAUAGUGGUGAGUGUGUGAUAGUGUCUAUCUGGCUUUCUUUUUCACUGCAAAUUUCAGAUCAUUAAGCUCGUCUCGAAAGAGAAAACAAACACAUAAAUCAUAAAACAUAUGAUCUUCGCCUUAACAAGGCAAAACUCAAAAAGUCUUUUGUUUUUUUAUCGACUAUUGAAAAUCAAACCAAAAGUCUUAGCCUCAAAUUCUGAUAUUGUGGCCUGUGGUAAAUUCGACCCAAUUAGUUUUUGGGCCAAGCUUUCGAAAAGCAACAAGGUUGAGUUGCGGCCACUUUCACUCCCUGAAGCAAUUUCUCUUAUAGAAUUUGCACACUCCUGCAUAACCUGCUUGAAGACAGUAGUUAUUUCUGCGUCCGCGUGCUUCUUGGUGAACUUCCGCCGAGGUUCGUUUGCUUGGCUGCUGCUUUCGUCAGUUAGCAGAAAAUCGUUGACAGAAGACGACGAGCAAUCAAGAAUGCUUGGCAAAUCACUGUCUAUGUUAUCAAUGUUUCCAAUCGUUCUACUCAAAUAAAAACAUAUUAAAAUUUGGUAGUAACAUAUUAUACUUACGUUCGUGCAUCUUUGUAGCCAUCUAAAAACUCCAGCGGCUCCAUAUAUCUUCACUCAGGCGCAAUUACACAAAUAAAUAAACGUAUUAAUUAUGUAUUUUUAUAGGAGUAACAGAUAUUAGAGGACCAUAACAAAAUUUUAAAGUAAAAAGUAACUUUAUUUACUAAAACACAUAAAAUUCGUACAAGUAUGACCACCUUGUACUGUUUUGUUCGCCGUUCGCCGGCUUAUGAAAUAGAAAUAAAGCUAAUUGAGUUGCGGUGUCCGACGAAAUUUUCGCCGGCGCCGUGACUAUGUGCAUUUCCAUAUGCACAUAUAUUUUUUAUUUUUGACGACGAACAUACGACGCGAAAAAUUCGUCGUGUUCCUAGCAUUAAUAUGAUAAUCAUGAUACCAUUAUUUCCUGGAUAUCAUUAAUCUUGCAGUUCGGUUUAGUAUAGCUCGUUACUAAUAAAUUACAAUUGGUGACGUUAGCGACAAAGUACUUUUAAAUAUUGAAGCUUAGCAAGCAUAGAAAUAAUAAAACAAGGUAAAAAGCAGUAAGUUCGGCCGGGCCGAACUUUGAAUACACUCCACCAUUUGGAACGAAUUUGGAAAUUUUCAAAAAAUAAAGUCCUUAAAAUUAAAAUUUUAAAAAUACCGAAUAUAGCCGUUAUAUUAGUGUCUAUACGUCGUGGACGUACAUAGGCCUUGUUUGUCAUAACCCACUACCAUAUUCAAAUUCGAAACUUGAAAUAAACGGUGAAUAAUGCAGCUAAACUCAUCAAAAUAUCGUAUAUAGGGAGGUACCGUUAUAUCGGAGCUGUGCGAAGACCUGGACCAGCAUAGACAAUAUUCCGUCACAGGCUAUAGCAUUCAUAACGAACGUCAAAUACGACAUCUCAAAAAAUUUCGGUGGGUAUUUUACCUUCCGAAUAUAGGGAGGUACUGAUAUAUGGGGCCUAUACGAAGACCUAGACCCGCAUAGACAAUUUUCUGUCACAGACUGUAGUUUCCAUUACGAACUCUAAAUACGUAAUUUGAAACAAUUCCGGUGAAUAAUGGAGCUAAAAUCAUAAAAAUACCGAAUUUUGGGAGGUACCGUUAUAUGGGGGCUAUACGAAGACGUGGACCUGCACAGACAAUGGCUGCUGCUUUCGUCAGUUAGCAGAAAAUCGUUGACAGAAGACGACGAGCAAUCAAGAAUGCUUGGCAAAUCAUUGUCUAUGUUAUAAAUGUUUCCAAUCGUUCUACUCAAAUAAAAACAUAUUAAAAUUUGGUAGUAACAUAUUAUACUUACGUUCGUGCAUCUUUGUAGCCAUCUAAAAACUCCAGCGGCUCCAUAUAUCUUCACUCAGGCGCAAUUACACAAAUAAAUAAACGUAUUAAUUAUGUAUUUUUAUAGGAGUAACAGAUAUUAGAGGACCAUAACAAAAUUUUAAAGUAAAAAGUAACUUUAUUUACUAAAACACAUAAAAUUCGUACAAGUAUGACCACCUUGUACUGUUUUGUUCGCCGUUCGCCGGCUUAUGAAAUAGAAAUAAAGCUAAUUGAGUUGCGGUGUCCGACGAAAUUUUCGCCGGCGCCGUGACUAUGUGCAUUUCCAUAUGCACAUAUGUUUUUUAUUUUUGACGACGAACAUACGACGCGAAAAAUUCGUCGUGUUCCUAGCAUUAAUAUGAUAAUCAUGAUACCAUUAUUUCCUGGAUAUCAUUAAUCUUGCAGUUCGGUUUAGUAUAGCUCGUUACUAAUAAAUUACAAUUGGUGACGUUAGCGACAAAGUACUUUUAAAUAUUGAAGCUUAGCAAGCAUAGAAAUAAUAAAACAAGUUAAAAAGCAGUAAGUUCGGCCGGGCCGAACUUUGAAUACCCUCCACCAUUUGGAACGAAUUUGGAAAUUUUCAAAAAAUAAAGUCCUUAAAAUUAAAAUUUUAAAAAUACCGAAUAUAGCCGUUAUAUUAGUGUCUAUACGUCGUGGACGUACAUAGGCCUUGUUUGUCAUAACCCACUACCAUAUUCAAAUUCGAAACUUGAAAUAAACGGUGAAUAAUGCAGCUAAACUCAUCAAAAUAUCGUAUAUAGGGAGGUACCGUUAUAUCGGAGCUGUGCGAAGACCUGGACCAGCAUAGACAAUAUUCCGUCACAGGCUAUAGCAUUCAUAACGAACGUCAAAUACGACAUCUCAAAAAAUUUCGGUGGGUAUUUUACCUUCCGAAUAUAGGGAGGUACUGAUAUAUGGGGCCUAUACGAAGACCUAGACCCGCAUAGACAAUUUUCUGUCACAGACUGUAGUUUCCAUUACGAACUCUAAAUACGUAAUUUGAAACAAUUCCGGUGAAUAAUGGAGCUAAAAUCAUAAAAAUACCGAAUUUUGGGAGGUACCGUUAUAUGGGGGCUAUACGAAGACGUGGACCUGCACAGACAAUUUUAUGUCAUGGGCUGUAGUAUCCAUUACGAAUCUCAAAUACCAAAAUUGAAAGAAUUCCGGUGAAUAAUGUCGCUAAAAUCAUCAAAACACCGAAUAUCGGGAGGUACCGUUAUAUGGGGGCUAUACGAAGACUUGGACCUGCACAGACAAUUUUCUGUCUUGGGCUGUAGUAUCCUUUUCGAACUUCAAAUGCCAAAUUUGAAACAAUCCCGGUAAAUAAUGUCGCUGAAAUCAUCAAAAUACCGAAUAUCGGGAGGUACCGUUGUAUGGGGGCUAUUCGAAGACGUGGAUCUGAACAGAUAAUUUUCUGUCAUAAGCUGUAGUAUCCAUUUCGAACUUCAAAUACCAAAUUUGAAAUAUAGGGAAGUAAGGUUAUAUGGGGGCUAUAUGCAAACGUGGACCUACAUGGCCCAUUUACGAACUUAAACUGCCUACUGGAAAAAUAAUCACGUAUGCAAAAUUU